GGCCUACACAUGCAGUCGAACGGUAGCACAGAGAGCUUGCUCUCGGGUGACGAGUGGCGGACGGGUGAGUAAUGUCUGGGAAACUGCCCGAUGGAGGGGGAUAACUACUGGAAACGGUAGCUAAUACCGCAUAACGUCGCAAGACCAAAGUGGGGGACCUUCGGGCCUCACACCAUCGGAUGUGCCCAGAUGGGAUUAGCUAGUAGGUGGGGUAACGGCUCACCUAGGCGACGAUCCCUAGCUGGUCUGAGAGGAUGACCAGCCACACUGGAACUGAGACACGGUCCAGACUCCUACGGGAGGCAGCAGUGGGGAAUAUUGCACAAUGGGCGCAAGCCUGAUGCAGCCAUGCCGCGUGUAUGAAGAAGGCCUUCGGGUUGUAAAGUACUUUCAGCGAGGAGGAAGGCGUUGUGGUUAAUAACCGCAGCGAUUGACGUUACUCGCAGAAGAAGCACCGGCUAACUCCGUGCCAGCAGCCGCGGUAAUACGGAGGGUGCAAGCGUUAAUCGGAAUUACUGGGCGUAAAGCGCACGCAGGCGGUUUGUUAAGUCAGAUGUGAAAUCCCCGGGCUCAACCUGGGAACUGCAUUUGAAACUGGCAAGCUUGAGUCUCGUAGAGGGGGGUAGAAUUCCAGGUGUAGCGGUGAAAUGCGUAGAGAUCUGGAGGAAUACCGGUGGCGAAGGCGGCCCCCUGGACGAAGACUGACGCUCAGGUGCGAAAGCGUGGGGAGCAAACAGGAUUAGAUACCCUGGUAGUCCACGCCGUAAACGAUGUCUAUUUGGAGGUUGUUCCCUUGAGGAGUGGCUUCCGGAGCUAACGCGUUAAAUAGACCGCCUGGGGAGUACGGCCGCAAGGUUAAAACUCAAAUGAAUUGACGGGGGCCCGCACAAGCGGUGGAGCAUGUGGUUUAAUUCGAUGCAACGCGAAGAACCUUACCUACUCUUGACAUCCAGAGAACUUAGCAGAGAUGCUUUGGUGCCUUCGGGAACUCUGAGACAGGUGCUGCAUGGCUGUCGUCAGCUCGUGUUGUGAAAUGUUGGGUUAAGUCCCGCAACGAGCGCAACCCUUAUCCUUUGUUGCCAGCGGUUCGGCCGGGAACUCAAAGGAAACUGCCAGUGAUAAACUGGAAGAAAGGUGGGAAUGACCUCAAGUCAUCAUGGCCCUUACGAGUAGGGCUACCCACGUGCUACA
rnacentral:rRNA from 1 species